UACGUAGGUGGCAAGCGUUGUUCGGAAUUAUUGGGCGUAAAGAGCUCGUAGGCGGUUGGGUAAGUCGGGUGUGAAAACUCAGGGCUCAACUCUGAGACGCCACUCGAUACUGCCCUGACUCGAGUCCGGUAGGGGAGCGUGGAAUUCCCGGUGUAGCGGUGAAAUGCGCAGAUAUCGGGAGGAACACCAGUGGCGAAGGCGGCGCUCUGGGCCGGAACUGACGCUGAGGAGCGAAAGCGUGGGUAGCAAACAGG
rnacentral:rRNA from 1 species